rnacentral:rRNA from 1 species
UACGUAGGGUGCAAGCGUUACUCGGAAUUACUGGGCGUAAAGCGUGCGCAGGCGGUUUUGUAAGUCUGUCGUGAAAUCCCCGGGCUUAACCUGGGAAUGGCGAUGGAGACUGCAAGGCUAGAGUUUGGCAGAGGGGGGUAGAAUUCCACGUGUAGCAGUGAAAUGCGUAGAGAUGUGGAGGAACACCGAUGGCGAAGGCAGGUCUCUGGGCUGACACUGACGCUCAUGCACGAAAGCGUGGGGAGCAAACAGG